UACUGUAAUAUGAAUGUAUAUAAACUGAUUUACAUUUAAUGGUUUCCGUUUUUACUCCAAUUUCAAAUCAGUUAUGUUCGGCGAAAUAAGUCAGCAAUCUCAAUCGAGUGCAAAUUUCUAGCGUCUAGUUAUUCUAGUCUACAUAACUCCAUUUGAUUUGGUGCAAUGUGUCUAGCCUCAUCCCUCGAGUCUCUCAAUACAACUGGGGCUGAAGCGCAUUAUGGUACACGAUUCGUGUACCAAUCUUAAAAAAAUUAUUUUAUCUUAAAUAUCGGAUAUCAGAAGCUCAUCUUUUCCCGCACUUUGUAAAUGGUCAGCCACAUCUUAUCGCUGCACUGCAUUAUGAUCACAUGGCUCAACCAUGACCACCACCCAAACCCAGUUCAAGUAAUUUUUUAAAGAAAUCUGCAAUAGUUGAAUCAAAGGUUUAAAGAUAUUCUAUCAAGUCAAAUCUGAUUGAGUAUGAAAACUGUGAAGAAAAUGCUUUAAUAAAAUGGUACAGAUAGAGAAUAUAGUUGAUGCUGCCAUAUGGUUUCUACAAUUUAUAUUCAUUAUCAUUUUGCACUGAAAAAAAAUCUUUCAGUGUAUUGCAUGCUUCUGAUUGUAGCAGUUUAUUUACUAAUUGGACCAAUUAUAUGUUUUAUAGACUUGGCUCUCUUGUUAUAUGGCCGCACAGAAAUAUUAUCAUUGAAAAUAUGCCAGAACAAUUUAAAACUGAUUAUGGCUGACUUAUAUCUGUUGCGUUUUAACAAAUUUUAUGUGAUUCCUUAUUGAGA